rnacentral:rRNA from 1 species
GAUAAACGCUGGCGGCGUGCCUAAUGCAUGCAAGUCGCACGGUACCAUCACUUCGGUGGUGGUGAGUGGCGAACGGGUGAGGAACACGUGGCCAACCUACCCCGGCGUGGGGGAUACCCACCAGAAAUGGUGGCUAAUACCGCGUACGGUCCACGGGCUGCGGCUCGUGGAAGAAAGCAGUGAUGCGCGCUGGGAGGGGGCUGCGGCCGAUUAUGCUUGUGGUGGGAAUGGCUUACCAAGGCGAUGAUCGGUAGCGGGUCUGAGAGGAUGAUCCGCCACACGGGGACUGAGACACGGGUCCAGACACCUACGGGUGGCAGCAGUCGAGAAUUUUCUCAAUGGGGGCAACCCUGAAGGAGCGACGCCGCGUGGAGG